rnacentral:lncRNA from 1 species
AGAUGUAAAGGGAGUUAGAAAUAGAUUAGGAGAUAGGAGUCCAAAAAGCCUUGGACUCUAUCCCUUUUGUGCCACCCACUAUCUAUCCAUGUGCACCCAUAUUCUUCACAAGAGAAAGGGGGUAUCUUAACUUUCUUACAUGCUAAUAAGGAAGGGGAGAGGUGGCGUCAAUCUGGUUUGGGCGUGGGUUUAAUGUGGCGCACAAAUACAAGGUCAAUGUGGAGUCCUUUUGGUGCA